GAUGAACGCUGGCGGCGUGCUUAACACAUGCAAGUCGAACGGGAAUUACUUUAUUGAAACUUCGGUCGAUGUAAUUUAAUUCUAGUGGCGGACGGGUGAGUAACGCGUGGGUAACCUGCCUUAUACAGGGGGAUAACAGUCAGAAAUGGCUGCUAAUACCGCAUAAGCGCACAGAGCUGCAUGGCUCGGUGUGAAAAACUCCGGUGGUAUAAGAUGGACCCGCGUUGGAUUAGCUUGUUGGUGGGGUAACGGCCCACCAAGGCGACGAUCCAUAGCCGGCCUGAGAGGGUGAACGGCCACAUUGGGACUGAGACACGGCCCAGACUCCUACGGGAGGCAGCAGUGGGGAAUAUUGCACAAUGGGGGAAACCCUGAUGCAGCGACGCCGCGUGAAGGAAGAAGUAUCUCGGUAUGUAAACUUCUAUCAGCAGGGAAGAUAGUGACGGUACCUGACUAAGAAGCCCCGGCUA
rnacentral:rRNA from 1 species